rnacentral:lncRNA from 1 species
CGGCAGUCAGCCAAUGGAUGAAUGGUUCUGACUUUGUCAUCUGCAUAUUGCGGUGGCAUUGGUUCAGAUUUCAGGGCCAUUUGUAUUGUGGUGGUUUCUUUAUGUUCAAGGUUAUCCACACCAGGCAGAGGACAAACUCCACUCCUGGCCUGCCUGCCCAGCUAGAUUUAAGGAUUGUAACCAGGACAGUGAGUCCCUUCUGGGAAAGGGGCCUCGUGGAGGUUAUGAAAUCCAGCAGGUCAUGGAAGGAGAAACGAUUGGCAAUCCAGACGGGAUGGAGGCAGGAGUUGGCUCAGUAACCCCAUCUUUCCUAUCCACCAGCACUCCCCUGCGCUUCCCAAGUGAUUUAAUUAUCCAUUCUUUAACUGCAACUCGGUUAGCCCUGAAAUUUGGGUGAAGAGAAAUCAGACACACAACUAAAAUAUUCCAGCAUGCAAACUUGAUCUCUUCGAUUGACUACCCCACCCAAAAGCUGUGCAGAAAGCCCCCUAGCACUUACACUGAUUUGGACUGGAAACUGGAGCCGCCGUCGCUGUGAAGAGAUGUGAAGUGACCAGACUUCCAUGUGUGAUGAUUAAUUUUAUGUGUCUACUGGACUAGGUUAAGGGAUGCCCAGAUGUGAGCGUCAUGUCAUCCAUUGAGAGCUCAAAUAGAAGAAAAAGAUUUAGGAAGCGUGAAUUUGCUGUCUGCUUGAGCUGGAACAUCAUCUUCUCUUGCCCUCAGGCAUCAGCACUCCUGGUUUGGGGGACUUAGGAUUCAGACUGGGACCUAUGCCGUUGGUUUCCCUGGUUCUCAGGCCUCUGGGCUUCGUUGGACUGGAACUACACUACCAGUUUUCCUGGGUCUUCAGCUUGCAGAUGGCAGAUUGUGGAACUUCUCAGUCUUCAUAAUUGUGUGAGCCAAUCCCCC